rnacentral:tRNA from 1 species
GGGGCUGUAGCUCAGUGGUAGAGCGCUUGCCUAGCAUGCAUGAGGCACUGGGUUUGAUCCUCAGCACCA